rnacentral:rRNA from 1 species
CACAUGUGCCGAGUUUGAUCAUGGCUCAGAGCGAACGCUGGCGGCAGGCUUAACACAUGCAAGUCGAACGGUCCUUCGGGAUAGUGGCGGACGGGUGAGUAACACGUGGGAACGUACCCUUAGGUUCGGAACAACACAGGGAAACUUGUGCUAAUACCGGAUGAGCCCUUCGGGGAAAGGAUUUAUCGCCUUUGGAGCGGCCCGCGUCUGAUUAGCUAGUUGGUGAGGUAAUGGCUCACCAAGGCGACGAUCAGUAGCUGGUCUGAGAGGAUGGCCAGCCACACUGGGACUGAGACACGGCCCAGACUCCUACGGGAGGCAGCAGUGGGGAAUCUUGCGCAAUGAGCGAAAGCCUGACGCAGCCAUGCCGCGUGGAUGAUGAAGGUCUUAGGAUUGUAAAAUACCUUUCACCGGGGACGAUAAUGACGGUACCCGGAGAAGAAGCCCCGGCUAACUUCGUG